UACAGAGGUCUCGAGCGUUAGGCGGAAUCACUGGGCUUAAAGCGUGUGUAGGCGGAUCGGUAAGUACCUUGUGAAAUCCCACAGCUUAACUGUGGAACUGCUUGGUAUACUGCCAGUCUUGAGCCAGCUAGGGGCUACCGGAACAAAUGGUGGAGCGGUGAAAUGCGUAGAUAUCGUAAGGAAGACCAGUGGCGAAGGCGGGUCUCUGGACAGUUCCUGACGCUGAGGCACGAAGGUCAGGGGAGCAAACGGG
rnacentral:rRNA from 1 species